AAUGAACGCUGGCGGCAUGCCUAACACAUGCAAGUCGAACGGACACACAAUAAGAUCUUGCUCCUAACGGUGGCGGCUGGCGGGCGGGUGACGCAUAAAUCACCAACCUCUUUUUCGUGGGGGAUAACGGGGGGAAACUUCUGCUAACACCGCAUAUGACCUACCGGUGGAAGCAGUGGUUAUUCACGCCUUUCCUGAUUGUAAUAGCCGGUGUCGGGUUAGCUAGUUGGCGGGGUAAAGGCCCACCAAGGCGACGAUCCGUAGCUGGUCUGAGAGGAUGAUCAGCCACACUGGAACUGAGACACGGUCCAGACUCCUACGGGAGGCAGCAGUGGGGAAUAUUGGACAAUGGGCGCAAGCCUGAUCCAGCCAUACCGCGUGGGUGAAGAAGGCCUUCGGGUUGUAAAGCCCUUUUGUUGGGAAAGAAAAGCAGCAGGUUAAUACCCCGCUGUUCUGACGGUACCCAAAGAAUAAGCACCGGCUAACUUCGUG
rnacentral:rRNA from 1 species